CAGUAGGGAAUCUUCCACAAUGGACGAAAGUCUGAUGGAGCAACGCCGCGUGAGUGAAGAAGGUUUUCGGAUCGUAAAGCUCUGUUGUUGGUGAAGAAGGAUAGAGGCAGUAACUGGUCUUUAUUUGACGGUAAUCAACCAGAAAGUCACGGCUAACUACGUGUCAG
rnacentral:rRNA from 1 species